GAUGAACGCUGGCGGCGUGCCUAAUACAUGCAAGUCGAGCGAACAGACGAGGAGCUUGCUCCUCUGACGUUAGCGGCGGACGGGUGAGUAACACGUGGAUAACCUACCUAUAAGACUGGGAUAACUUCGGGAAACCGGAGCUAAUACCGGAUAAUAUAUUGAACCGCAUGGUUCAAUAGUGAAAGACGGUUUUGCUGUCACUUAUAGAUGGAUCCGCGCCGCAUUAGCUAGUUGGUAAGUUAACGGCUUACCAAGGCGACGAUGCGUAGCCGACCUGGGAGGGGAGUGGCCCAACCGGAAACGGGACACGGGUCCGAAGCCGCAGGGAGGGACGAGUGGGGAAUUCUUCCGAAAGGGGGAAAAGCUUGACGAGCCAAGGCGGGGGGAGGGAAGAAGGGCGGCGGUUCGUAAAACAUUGUUAUUGGGAAAAAAAAAAUGUGUAAUAAACGUUGCCCGUUUGAAGGUAACCUAUAAAGAAGCCCCGGCUAAAUCCGUG
rnacentral:rRNA from 1 species